rnacentral:rRNA from 1 species
CCUACGGGUGACAGCAGUGAGGAAUAUUGGUCAAUGGCCGGAAGGCUGAACCAGUCAUGCCGCGUGCAGGUCAGUGCCCUAUGGGCGUUAAACUUCUUUUGUGCGGGAGCAAUAAUGGUCACGUGUGGCCAGACGAGAGUACCGUACGAAUAAGCAUCAGCUAACUCCGUGCCAGCAGCCGCGGUAAUACGGGGGAUGCAAGCGUUAUCCGGAUUUAUUGGGUUUAAAGGGUGCGUAGGCUGUGAGGUAAGUCAGCGGUGAAAUGCCCCCGCGCAACGGGGUGAAGGGCCAUUGAUACUGCCUAGCUGGAAGGCGGAUGCGGUGGGAGGAAUGUGUGGUGUAGCGGUGAAAUGCAUAGAUAUAACACAGAACACCGAUUGCGAAGGCAUCUCACGAAUCCGCGAUUGAUGCUGAUGCACGAAAGCGUGGGUAUCAAACAGGAUUAGAUACCCCUGUAGUC